GGGGAAUUUUCCGCAAUGGGCGCAAGCCUGACGGAGCAACGCCGCGUGAGGGAUGAAGGCCUCUGGGCUGUAAACCUCUUUUCUCAAGGAAGAAGACAUGACGGUACUUGAGGAAUAAGCCACGGCUAAUUCCGUGCCAGCAGCCGCGGUAAUACGGGAGUGGCAAGCGUUAUCCGGAAUUAUUGGGCGUAAAGCGUCCGCAGGCGGCCUUUUAAGUCUGUUGUUAAAGCGUGGAGCUCAACUCCAUUUCGGCAAUGGAAACUGGCAGGCUGGAGUGUGGUAGGGGCAGAGGGAAUUCCCGGUGUAGCGGUGAAAUGCGUAGAUAUCGGGAAGAACACCAGUGGCGAAGGCGCUCUGCUGGGCCAUAACUGACGCUCAUGGACGAAAGCCAGGGGAGCGAAAGGGAUUAGAUACCCCUGUAGUCCUGGCCGUAAACGAUGAACACUAGGUGUCGGGGGAAUCGACCCCCUCGGUGUCGUAGCCAACGCGUUAAGUGUUCCGCCUGGGGAGUACGCACGCAAGUGUGAAACUCAAAGGAAUUGACGGGGGCCCGCACAAGCGGUGGAGUAUGUGGUUUAAUUCGAUGCAACGCGAAGAACCUUACCAGGGUUUGACAUCCUGCGAAUCUUUUGGAAACAGAAGAGUGCCUUCGGGAGCGCAGAGACAGGUGGUGCAUGGCUGUCGUCAGCUCGUGUCGUGAGAUGUUGGGUUAAGUCCCGCAACGAGCGCAACCCACGUCUUUAGUUGCCAGCAUUUAGUUGGGCACUCUAGAGAGACCGCCGGUGAUAAACCGGAGGAAGGUGUGGAUGACGUCAAGUCAUCAUGCCCCUUACAUCCUGGGCUACACACGUACUACAGUGCUACGGACAAAGGGCAGCAAACUCGCGAGAGCUAGCAAAUCCCAUAAACCGUGGCUCAGUUCAGAUCGUAGGCUGCAACUCGCCUACGUGAAGGAGGAAUCGCUAGUAAUCGCAGGUCAGCAUACUGCGGUGAAUACGUUCCCGGGCCUUGUACACACCGCCCGUCACACCAUGGAAGUUGGCCACGCCCGAAGUCGUUACUCCAACCCUUGUGGAGGAGGACGCCGAAGGUGGGGCUGAUGACUGGGGUGAAGUCGUAACAAGGUAACC
rnacentral:rRNA from 1 species